CUCGCCUCCAAUUGGUGCUGAGAGGUGUGGACUCUUUUUACUUUCCACUUUGAGAAACUUAGACUAGAGUUCUGUUUUUAAUAUUAUGAUGCACAGCCAGCUUGCAUACGAUUGUAUUAGAGGUUUGCUUUGCAUUUGAUAAACUAUUUGCUGUCUGUCUUGUGUUUGCACAUUCAGAUUUGUUUUUGUGCUUCAAGAUACGGUGACUCUCAUUGCUGUAUUGGACAUCAGUCACAAACUAGAGGUACAAGUGCUAACUCGUGUUCUGUUCGCUCUGUUUUUCACGGUGUAAGGACAGCUUAACCUUGUUUUGAUCAUGAAUUUUUUCAAGUUAGGAGUAGAAAUCACGUAUUUGCUCUAGUAAAUCAAUAAAAACUCGUUGCCUACCAUACAAAAGUCACCUAUAACUUGUCAGGUCGUUGUAUCAAAUGUCCUAGGAGCUGCUGUAAUUCAGAUUCAAAUUCGUCAUUAAAACUUCGUUGAUGUUCUCUAGGUUGAACAAACCUUGAUAAGCUCAUGCUACUUGACCUGUAAAACAAUGAAGAAAAGUCAAAUAAUAUUUUCUGUAAAUUUGCAGGUGGAUUCAUAUGCUUAUCUUCCUCCAAACUCGAAACAUUCCUUGAAAUCUGUUGACACACUAAAAGUGCAGCCCAAAUCAAAUAGUCCAAAGAGUGAAGCCCAAUUGGAGAAUCCAGGAUAAAGGUCCAAACAGGAUUAUUGAUGAAUGCGGUGAAAGUCCACGAACACGGUAACAUCAUCGCCCAAACUUGCAAGACGCCCAGAAUCUGAGCGAAUGGAGUACCUUACGGUCGCCUAGAGCGAUGAGCCCGUUCUCGUCCAAACCUUCGAAUCGCCCAGGAUCUUAGCAAGUAUAAAACAUUAUGGUUAUCCAGAAUAGCAGUUAUUGAAGCAGUUAUUGAAUGAUCUUAUCACAUUCCACGAUUCAAGGAGCCCAAUUGAAGGCGGUUGAGCGACAAAGAGUAAUGACAAUAGUUAGAGACGGCAGUUCCACGACAAGUUAGCCAUCAUAAAGAAAGUGGGUAGUUAUACAGCAAUCAAACAGCUUCCAAGCGGUUUGUCAUGAAGAAAUCAUCAAGGGAAUAUAAAAAAGAAGAGAAG
rnacentral:lncRNA from 1 species